AUUGAACGCUGGCGGCAUGCCUUACACAUGCAAGUCGAGCGGCAGCGCGGGGGCAACCCUGGCGGCGAGCGGCGAACGGGUGAGUAAUACAUCGGAACGUGUCCUGUAGCGGGGGAUAACCUGUCGAAAGAUAGGCUAAUACCGCAUACGACCUACGGGUGAAAGCGGGGGACCGCAAGGCCUCGCACUAUAGGAGCGGCCGAUGUCGGAUUAGCUAGUUGGCGGGGUAAAAGCCCACCAAGGCGACGAUCCGUAGCUGGUCUGAGAGGACGAUCAGCCACACUGGAACUGAGACACGGUCCAGACUCCUACGGGAGGCAGCAGUGGGGAAUUUUGGACAAUGGGGGCAACCCUGAUCCAGCCAUGCCGCGUGAGUGAAGAAGGCCUUCGGGUUGUAAAGCUCUUUCGGCGGGGACGAAACGGUUCGUGACAACACCACGGACUAAUGACAGUACUCGCAGAAGAAGCACCGGCUAACUACGUGC
rnacentral:rRNA from 1 species